rnacentral:antisense_RNA from 1 species
UACUAUGGCGAGCUGUACGGGCAGUCUUCGGACUGGCCGGUUAACUUCUUGUCCGGUAUUGCUCCCCCGUAUAGCCCGCCUCCUUC